AAGAGAUUAUCUUCUUCUAGGAUGAGCCACGUCACUAAUUCGCUUAAUAUGGUGCUGACAGGUGUCCAACGCGGCCAAAACACGUCGUUUCAUUAAAAUUUCAGGUUGAAGGGUUCUAGAAUCAGGUGUUUUCGCAGCCCGAGUAGAUGUAAUCACGCGUAACCCUAAUUCUAAAGAAUCGAAGAGAUGGAAAUUGUCUCUCCCCUUGGUUCAACGGCAGUGACGUCUGAGUUUCUCCACACUAUCUGAAACGGUCCGAAUUAUGACGGUGUUUCUUAUUCUAUAAAAGGGUAAGGUUUCUUCCUUGUAUAGCAUCCUCACCAUUCGUAAUGACUCCAUAAAAUCUUUGUUCGUCUUCUCGCUCUCUCUUUUCUAGCGGAAGAGAAACAUCAACUACAUCAACCCUGUCUGACUGCUUCAGCUUUCGUCUCCUCUUCUCUCAUGUAACUCCACCAAAUCCACUCUUUCUAGGGCUCGAUUGCCCUGCCUCUCAGUUAUGAACCUUCUUCCUCUUUUCUUGAACACACCUCUUUUGAUCGGCGGCGGAGAAGGCUAAGUCUGCAGCAGAAAUGUAUGUCUCCGAUCUCAGAAGCACCACGCCGUCGCUAGAGACUGUUAACAACCUCCGUAAUAGUCUUAGACAGAGACUCCUCCAGACUCCAGCUCUUCGAUAAAGAUGGCCAAGUACUCGAUGGCGCAGGGUCGUUCUCCAGUGAAUUUCAGAGCGGAUCUGGUUUGUCGUCACGCCAGAAAGGUGAGCGAGAAGUUCCAUCUUAUUGGUUACAUAUAUUCUUAUGCCAAGUGUAUCUUUUUAUUCCUCCAAGUAUGCAUAUUUAUGGAGUUUUGUAGCUUUUCAUUAAGUGGUUAGUGUAACCAAUCUGUAAAGCUUCAUUCUUGGAGGAGUUUAAGUCUGAACGUUCUAUAAAAUUUGAAUAACAGGCCCGGCUACAACUUUCUAAUGUCCCGGUGCAAAAAAAAAAAAUUCCAGUAAUUGUUAAAAAAGGAUUUGGAUGCCUUGACAAGCCAUUCAUAGCUUCAAUCAAGACGGUAAUGAGACGAAGGCAUACUGAUAUUGAAUUAAAGUGGAUAAAAAAGUUAGAAAAGGCUCUGGAGACAAGUGGAAAUCAUUUUUCAGAUGUUGCACAUUCUCUCAAUACUUGCCCAUAAUUGUGUUAUUACCUCAGUUGUCAUGAUCUUAAAUUAAGUCUAAUA